rnacentral:rRNA from 1 species
CCUACGGGUGGCAGCAGUGAGGAAUAUUGGUCAAUGGACGCAAGUCUGAACCAGCCAUGCCGCGUGCAGGAAGACGGCUCUAUGAGUUGUAAACUGCUUUUGUACGAGGGUAAACGCAGGUACGUGUAUCUGUCUGAAAGUACCGUAUGAAUAAGGAUCGGCUAACUCCGUGCCAGCAGCCGCGGUAAUACGGAGGAUUCAAGCGUUAUCCGGAUUUAUUGGGUUUAAAGGGCGCGUAGGCGGUUGGUUAAGUUAGAGGUGAAAUCCCGAGGCUCAACUUCGGAAUUGCCUUUGAUACUGUUCGGCUAGAGAGUAGUUGAGGUAGGCGGAAUGUAUGGUGUAGCGGUGAAAUGCUUAGAGAUCAUGCAGAACACCGAUUGCGAAGGCAGCUUACCAAGCUGCUACUGACGUUGAGGCUCGAAAGCGUGGGGAGCAAACAGGAUUAGAUACCCCUGUAGUC